rnacentral:rRNA from 1 species
GCGUAAGCGAGCGCAGGCGGUCUUUUAAGUCURAUGUGAAAGCCUUCGGCUCAACCKWAGAAGUGCAUUGGAAACUGGGAGACUUGAGUGCAGAAGAGGACAGUGGAACUCCAUGUGUAGCGGUGAAAUGCGUAGAUAUAUGGAAGAACACCAGUGGCGAAGGCGGCUGUCUGGUCUGCAACUGACGCUGAGGCUCGAAAGCAUGGGUAGCGAACAGGAUUAGAUACCCUGGUAGUCCAUGCCGUAAACGAUGAUUACUAAGUGUUGGAGGGUUUCCGCCCUUCAGUGCUGCAGCUAACGCAUUAAGUAAUCCGCCUGGGGAGUACGACCGCAAGGUUGAAACUCAAARGAAUUGACGGGGGCCCGCACAAGCGGUGGAGCAUGUGGUUUAAUUCGAAGCUACGCGAAGAACCUUACCAGGUCUUGACAUCUUCUGACAGUCUAAGAGAUUAGAGGUUCCCUUCGGGGACAGAAUGACAGGUGGUGCAUGGUUGUCGUCAGCUCGUGUCGUGAGAUGUUGGGUUAAGUCCCGCAACGAGCGCAACCCUUAUUACUAGUUGCCAGCAUUAAGUUGGGCACUCUAGUGAGACUGCCGGUGACAAACCGGAGGAAGGUGGGGACGACRUCAAAUCAUCAUGCCCCUUAUGACCUGGGCUACACACGUGCUACAAUGGAUGGUACAACGAGUCGCGAGACCGCGAGGUUAAGCUAAUCUCUUAAAACCAUUCUCAGUUCGGACUGUAGGCUGCAACUCGCCUACACGAAGUCGGAAUCGCUAGUAAUCGCGGAUCAGCAUGCCGCGGUGAAUACGUUCCCGGGCCUUGUACACACCGCCCGUCACACCAUGAGAGUKUGUAACA